GCCGCAGCCCCUCCUCUCCCACGGGCGGGGCGCGCUGGCGGGGCGGCGCUCCCGGCUCCCCGCCCCCGGCUCCCGCUGGCUGGCGGAGCUGGAGUGGAACCGCCGCUCGCCGGACCCGCUGGACACCUUCUCCGAGCCUCCCGGAGAGCCGCGAGCUGGGCGCGCCGAUCCUCGGGACGCGCGGGGGUCUCACUGCCUGGGCUCACCCCCGGCCGGCCCCGGUGGGAACACCCCUGCUGUCCAGAGACCACAGCCGUGGAGCCCCUGACCCGGCAAACCCGGGCCCGAGCGCCGUAGAAACGGCCCGGUUCGCCCUAGCUCCAGCCAGCGGAGGUGGACCAGCCCUGGCUCGCACGGUUGGCCCAGAUGGUCCCAGCGCUCGGGGCCCGGAGAGCAGCCGCUCGAGCACCGUGGGAGAGCGGAUUCGGAAGAGAACAGCAGCCCGGUCACCUCCCCGGAGACGAUGCCCAGCCCCUGUCUCGGGCCUUCAUUCAGAAACUCUACUGAAACGGCUCUCGCUCUCUCUUAAGAAAAAAAAGGUGAAUCACAGCGUCAUGCUUUUCCUGAAGCUUUUGCUGACCCCGCUAGAUUUGGAAGUGAUCGCAGUGUCCACCGAGCGCUUCCUGUGUUCUUCUCGCAUUCAGCCGGACUUGCCUUGUUCCCUCUGUCCUCGGCCUGCUGACGACCACGCGGAGGCCUUGGACUUACCGGUGCACAGCCUGAGAAUCUGUACGCACAGAAGGUAUUGUCCCUAAUCACAACCUAACACAUAAUAUGACCUACAAUUUUCCAAAUGUAUGUGGAUGCUCUUGUGGUUAAUAAAAUAGAAUUCAUUUAAAAGNNNNNNNNNNNNNNNNNNNNNNNNNNNNNNNNNNNNNNNNNNNNNNNNNNNNNNNNNNNNNNNNNNNNNNNNNNNNNNNNNNNNNNNNNNNNNNNNNNNUGUGGAUGCUCUUGUGGUUAAUAAAAUAGAAUUCAUUUAAAAGUAUGACUAAGAUCAUAGUAGGUUUUAGUUAUGAUGGUUUUCUUCUCAAUGAAUAGUAUACUAAUUAGCCCACGAUUUUUUCUUUGCUUGCUUUUACAGCAAUAUUGAGUCUUUGCACUGAAAGUAGUAGGAAACACUAGAUUAAAUGGUCAUCAAAAGCAUUAUUUGCCCUUGGCUUAUGCUGUCAAAGCUGGUGUCAAGAUAGAUUUACAUUGGUAAGAUUCUUAAGAUUGUACCAUAAUAUCAAACUAGCUCAUGAGAUGUAAGUAUGUCUUACCUGAUAUACAAUACAGAAAAAAAGAGCUAUGUAGUAGUGUUAGGUGUAAGGGCAGUACCAGCAGCAGCAGUAUGUAUUGCUACACAGAUUACAUGGCUUUAUUCAGAUAUAACAUUUCAUUUUCUCAUUACAUGGCCACUUUGUGAAAUACACAGGUAAGGUUUUGAUUUGACAUAACAGGAAACUGAGGCACUGAGAUUGUGACUUGCCCACUGUCACAUUGAUUAAUGGAAACUCUAGAACUCUGUUCUUGGCCUUGAGCAUCUUUCCAUUCCCUGGGUGAGGUACACUGUCCUAGAGACCUGGGAAGUAUACAAAUGGAGGCCUGACGCCAUAUGUGUUAAAUAGAAAUAAUCAAAGGUUGUAAAUCAAACAAACAGUUUAAUGAAAUAUUUUCUGGUCUACCUUGACAACUGUUUUGUUGUGACUACCUAGAAGGUAUUCAGAAUUUUCAAAUUCUUUAGUUCUAACCAGAUGACUUGGCAGUGCAUGAAGAUACACCCAGGCUGGCACCUGUGUCCUGCUCCUCUUCUCUCCCUGCUUCGAGCUCUCACCCAUUCUGAGAGGGUCUUCAUGCUCACGCAGGAGGACAAUCCAGCCCCCACAUCUAAGCUCUGUCCUUACUUCUCUCAAGCAGCUGCUCCUUGGCACCAGGGUCCUGAUAAUCCAGAGUGUGGUGUAGAAGAGGGGCAAAGGCUCUGGUGGGCAUGCCAGCUGGGUCCUGCACAUCCUGUGCCUCAAGGGGAGCAUGUGGCUGAAGGAGGAUGACAAAGGACCUCUAAAGUACGAGGUCCAGAGCUACGGCUGCCUCAGCUAACACAAGGACAGUUCUGAACUGUACAUAUAUUUACUGUUCAACCGUUAAGCAUUUCCUGGCAAGAAAAACCUGUCAAAUCAGUUCCUCAUAGAUAUGAAACCUCACAAUCUUCUUACUUUAUUAUUAAGCUCUAUUCCAUAAUUAUAAGACUGUAAAAAUAUUCAAGUCACUACCUAUGUCUUAACUUCCAAAACAAAAACUAUUGUUUUAUAUUGGUUUGGAGAUAUUAAUAAACAGUGGUAGUCAAAUUCAUCAACAUAGAAGAAAUCAAUAUUUACAGAAAGGAAAUUAGAAGUAAUUCAUAAGAUCUAGAUUUCUUUUUUCAAACCCUAAGUCACAAACUAAACAGAUGGAGACCAAUUUCCCUUUAGGGACAGGAGCCUUGAUAUCUGAAGGCUAAAUGUAUGUAGAUGAGUGAAACAAUAUACCCUACUGCCCAGGCUUUUAUUGAAGAGGCCGAGAAGUAAAAGUCAAGACUGGGGGGAAGGCCUGGGUCUGUCUCACAGAGAUACUUCCCUAGUUCAGUUCAGUGUCUCCAUUGUGUCCGACUCUUUGCAACCCCAUGGACUGCAGCACGCCAGGUUGCCCUGUCCAUCAUCAACUCCCAGGGUGUUCUCAUUUGGAUUCCCUUGACUUAUCCACACCUGACUCCCAGGAAUUCUGGCCCAAACACAACAUUCUCUUCUUUGGUUCCAUUCAGCAGAGCUGUCACCCACUGACAUUUCCAAAAUAUCUUCACUAGACAGUAUGGGCAAAGUAAAGGAAAUAACUAGACACAAUUAGGAAUAACUUAAAUAUGGCCUUACUUCUAGGAUAAGGUUCCUGGUUCUGAAUUAAUGAACUNNNNNNNNNNNNNNNNNNNNNNNNNNNNNNNNNNNNNNNNNNNNNNNNNNNNNNNNNNCUCUCUUGGCUGGGGCAGAGGGUAGGGGUGGGAGUUCUGCCUCCAUUUCACCUUCCCAGCUCACCAGGAACAAUUUAAUCAUUCAUUUGUUUCUGUCCUGUGGAUGAGCAUCACAUACACAGAAGCAUAUUCAUAGAUUCCUCUGGAUUCCCUCACAGAGGCCCUGAUUUCAGCUGGAAAGAAAAGUUUCUUGAAAAAUUGAGGCUUUUGUUGAUUUAUUAAUAGAUAAACUUUACUGCUCAGCUCUCUCUGCAAAAGAAGAACUCAGAAGAGACCCUUUUCCCUUCCCCAAUAGCAGGGCAAUGAACUCAUCCAUUAUCAGCUCUCAGGAGGAUAUACUGAUCACAGAACAAUGUGUGAGCAUUAGCAGAAACACAGUGUAGCCCAAAUGAGUGUUGCCUUAAAGUAGAAGAAAAGGGAAUUAUCUCAAUCACUGCAGCCAGGGAAGACAUUUAAUAUUACUAUGAAUAAAGUGUUAUCAGUUCAGUUCAGUUGCUCAGUCGUGUCGGACUCUUUGCGACCCCAU
ensembl:lncRNA